AUUAUGGCUUAAACUCUUUGACUGUUCACUUGAUUUAAAAUGUAAACAUCAGAGCAAGUUCCAACACUAUGUGAAGCUGCCAUGACACAGGUACAACUGCAGGCAGAAGAGAUUCAAUUGAUUUCAGAUUAGGGUGAUGUCCUUUUGGGGUGGGAGGCUGUCAGGAGGAGAGGCUUAUGAGAAUGAUUCAGAUAUGUGGAGAGAAUACGCCAGGGGUAAGAAAGGGAGGCAGAGAAUCUGAGCAUGGAGGAAUAGAUAGCAUUUCAAGGGAGUUGUCUUGUGUAAUGUGUAUGUGUGUGUCUAUGUAUGGGUAUUUUUGUGUGUGCAUACAAAGUGUGAGUGUGUGUGUGCGUGUGUCUUUAGAAUCCCUGACUGAUGUUGGCAGGGUCUCAUGAUGAUUUCACAAGUCGUGGCUGAAAUGUAAUGUGCAUCCAUAAUGAAACCACUUUUUAGUGGGACAACAAAUGACUGGAGCACAAAAAGACUGGACUACCAAUGCAAAGAUACCAACUGAAACAAUGCAUGUAUGGCAUAUCUGACCAUCAGUUAAGCUAAUUCAAUGUAUGAGAUGUCUAACAUUCAUCAUAAUUCUACAAAUCUGCAAAAGAAAUUUCCAGUUAACUAUUGUCAUCAACAGUGAGAUCUGAAAAGGUGGGAGGAUUGCAAAGGUGUAAGAAAGUAUAAUAAUUACUUUUAAAACAAAUAAAUACUAAUUACUUUAUAAAUACUACCCAUACUACUUCUAAUAAUACGCUUUGUUUGUAUCCACAUUCUCUUAUUUCCUAAUAAAAAUGAAUUAGCCUACUUCUAUAAACAGCCAAUGCGGACGAAAGAGCUUCUGAGGGCAAAAGCUUAUCAGAAUUGUAUUUAUUGCCAAGUAGGUUUACACCUACCUGGAAUUUGCUUUGGUGUAUAGGUGCAUCCAGUAAACAUAAAAAUAAAAACAAGUACUACACAUAAGAAAAAAAACAAUAUAUAAGAUACAAAUAUAUAAAAUGUAUAUAAAAAAGUAAAGUAAAAAGUAAAAUGCAAAACAGGAGUGCAAUGUGAUUGUGCAAUGUAAUGUAAUGUGUGUUAAUUUAACACAGACUUGAGGAGUGGGGGC
ensembl:lncRNA